CUUCAUCUCAGCUACAUUUAUCCUGUUAGCUGCUCACACCAUGAUUUUUUGACCUAUCCAUUUGUUCAUCGGUGUACGAUCUGCACAGUUUGGAAUAAACUUCUUCACGAUCUACAAGGUGUUGUUUGGAUCGAGUCACUAUCACACUUUCAAUGCUUAGAUUGGAGAGGCAGAACAGAGCCAAUCAGGGCAAGCUCCCCCUGCACUUCCUUUUAAGUAUUCUGAGUCUCUGCCGGAUAAGUAUACCGGAAUUGCAAACGCUAAUGUGAACCUAGCCUAACACAGUGAACCAACACCAGCAAAUGGCAUGGCUCCCCAAACUAUGACUGUGGAAACUUCAAACUGGACCUCAAGCAACUGGCAUUGUGUGCCUCUCCACUCUUCCUCCAGAGUCUGGGACCUUUAUUUCCAAAUGAAAUGCAAAAUUUACUUUCAUCUGAAAACUGAUUUUUGGACCACUAAGCAACAGUCCAGCCCUUUUUAUCCU